UACGUAGGUGGCAAGCGUUGUUCGGAAUUACUGGGCGUAAAGCGCGUGUAGGCGGCUCUUCAAGUCAGACGUGAAAGCCCCGGGCUCAACUCGGGAACUGCGUUUGAUACUGUCGAGCUAGAGUGUGGAAGGGGCGAUUGGAAUUCCGUGUGUAGCGGUGAAAUGCGUAGAUAUACGGAGGAACACCAGAGGCGAAGGCGGAUCGCUGGGCCAACACUGACGCUGAGACGCGAAAGCUAGGGGAGCAAACGGG
rnacentral:rRNA from 1 species